AGCAGCCGCGGUAAUUCCAGCUCCAAUAGCGUAUAUUAAAGUUGCUGCAGUUAAAAAGCUCGUAGUUGAAUUUCGGGACCAAUAUGUCGGUCGUGCCUCGGUACGUACUGGCAUCGUUGGUUUCCCCCUUCUGACGAACCAUGAUGUCAUUUAUUUGGUGUCGUGGGGAAUCAGGACUGUUACUUUGAAAAAAUUAGAGUGUUUAGAGCAGGCUUACGCUUGAAUACAUUAGCAUGGAAUAAUGAAAUAGGACAUCAGAUUCUAUUUUGUUGGUUUCUAGGAUCGAUGUAAUGAUUAAUAGGGAUAGUUGGGGGCAUUAGUAUUUCAAUUGUCAGAGGUGAAAUUCUUGGAUUUAUUGAAGACUAACUACUGCGAAAGCAUUUGCCAAGGAUGUUUUCAUUAAUCAAGAACGAAAGUUAGGGGAUCGAAGACGAUCAGAUACCGUCGUAGUCUUAACCAUAAACUAUGCCGACUAGGGAUCGGAUGAUGU
rnacentral:rRNA from 1 species